rnacentral:rRNA from 1 species
GUGCCAGCCGCCGCGGUAAUACGUAGGGUGCAAGCGUUAAUCGGAAUUACUGGGCGUAAAGCGUGCGCAGGCGGUUCGGAAAGAAAGAUGUGAAAUCCCAGAGCUUAACUUUGGAACUGCAUUUUUAACUACCGGGCUAGAGUGUGUCAGAGGGAGGUGGAAUUCCGCGUGUAGCAGUGAAAUGCGUAGAUAUGCGGAGGAACACCGAUGGCGAAGGCAGCCUCC